AAGACUAUAGACCUGCGGAGUACCUGCGGAAGGAUCAUUAUCGAGUUUACAACUCCCAAACCAUUGUGAAUCUUACCUUUUCGUUGCUUCGGCGGGAUCGCCCCGGGCGCUUCGGUGCCCCGGAUUCAGGCGCCCGCCGGGGGACCUAAACUCUUGUAUUAUAGUGGAUUUCUGAGUGGAUUACACAAAUAAUCAAAACUUUCAGCAAUGGAUCUCU
rnacentral:misc_RNA from 1 species